rnacentral:rRNA from 1 species
UACAGAGGUCUCAAGCGUUGUUCGGAUUCAUUGGGCGUAAAGGGUGCGUAGGCGGCAGAUCAAGUUAGAUGCGAAAUACCCGGGCUUAACUCGGGAACUGCAUUUAAUACUGCUCUGCUAGAGUAUUAGAGAAGAAGCUGGAAUUUACGGUGUAGCAGUGAAAUGCGUAGAUAUCGUAAAGAACGUCAGUGGCGAAAGCGAGCUUCUAGAUAAUUACUGACGCUGAGGCACGAAAGCUAGGGGAGCAAACGGG